rnacentral:lncRNA from 1 species
AAUUCUGGUGACAUUUUAGAGGGAAGCGUAAUGUGAUUGUCGUUGUAAUGGAAAGUUACUGCUUCAACCUAAAUAUAGUAUAGAGACAAAUGGCCACUCUUUAGGAAGUGACUAGUGAUUUUGGGGUGACACCAUAUUUUGGGUGCCCACCUUGAGAUAUAUUAAGGGGAGCCCUGAUUUUUCAGAGUUGUGCUCCAUGUAGGGUAAACCACAAACAUUUGUGUCCCGGAACAAAUGUUUAUUCACGGUAAUUAACUCCGUUACCUGGCAGUCAAUUAACUUGAGUUAAAACAGGACCCCAAACUCUAGUCUAGACAAAUCCCUUGGAAACCACAUGUGGGUUUGAGAAUUACCCAGUUAGGGAGUGGAAAAUAUGUCCAUUACACAGCACAAGUUGCCAACUGUGAACUGUGCAUAAGCUUUCGUGGGUAAAAACCUCACUUCAGAUGCAGCUUAUGCCCAAAUAAAUCUGUUAGUCUUUAAGGUGCCACCAGACGCCUUGUUGCUUAGGUUAGAAGUGGUUGUGGCACAGGCCUGUGUGGGGGUUGACCGAGUGCUCUGGCUCUACUGGGCUGCAGAGCAGCCCACUGGCAGCUGCCCACAGCUGGGGUACAUUGGAGAGCACCAGGAGGCUUGUUGGUCCUGGACCAGCCGGUAACUUCAGACAUUCAAAGUUAACACAGUCACCUUUGCCCUCCCUGCCCCUAUGUUGUGCUUUGCAAGAAGCACAUAGUCUGACCUUUUGUUUUGCUACUUUGUUAAAUAUUAUAACUGCUGAGAGAUUACAAUAUUUAUUAUAUCUUCUAUUUUAAAUAGUAUGAAUGUUUUGUUGUUUUAAUAGGAUAUUUUACACCUUAUGAGAAUCAGUAAUUUGUCUGGCGCUCAGUUUUAAAGCUAGUAUCAUGUUACUAGAGACCUGCACAAAUACAAAAUUUGUAUCCACAUCCAAUCCGCGAUCCGCAGAUAUCCACAUCCAUGGAUAUGGAUAUCCGCAGAUAUAAAGCAGAUAUCCACAGAUUUGCAGGGCUCUAGACACAAAAUUUGUAUCCACAUCCGAUCCAUGAUCUGCAAAACUGGUCCGCAGAUAUCUGCGUCUGCAGAUAAAAAGUGAAUAUCCGUGGAUUUACAAGGCUCUGCAUAUUACCUUUGAAUUUCAUUACCAAUGAACUAGAAAUUGUCUAGUAAGUUGAUAUCUUUUAAUAAUUAUGUUCUCACCAACAUAGAAAUGAAAACAAUGCAUA